rnacentral:rRNA from 1 species
UACGAAGGGGGCUAGCGUUGCUCGGAAUCACUGGGCGUAAAGCGCACGUAGGCGGAUUGUCAAGUCAGGGGUGAAAUCCUGGAGCUCAACUCCAGAACUGCCUUUGAUACUGGCGAUCUCGAGUCCGGGGGAGGUGAGUGGAACUGCGAGUGUAGAGGUGAAAUUCGUAGAUAUUCGCAAGAACACCAGUGGCGAAGGCGGGUCUCUGGACAGUUCCUGACGCUGAGGCACGAAGGCCAGGGGAGCAACGGG